rnacentral:rRNA from 1 species
GACGUAGGUGGCGAACGUUAUCCGGAAUUAUUGGGCGUAAAGGGUGCGUAGGUGGCUUGAUAAGUUAGCAGUGGGAAAUCGAGGCUCAACCUCGUGGAAGCUGGUAAUACUGUCAGGCUCGAGUGCAGGAGAGGUUAACGGAACUCCAUGUGGAGCGGUAAAAUGUGUAGAUAUAUGGAAGAACACCAAUAACGGCGAAGGCAGUUAACUAUUCUGUUACUGACAUUGAGGCACGAAAGCGUGGGGAGCAAAACGG